rnacentral:rRNA from 1 species
GACGAACGCUGGCGGCGUGCUUAACACAUGCAAGUCGAACGGAAAGGCCCCUUUGGGGGUACUCGAGUGGCGCACGGGUGAGUAACACGUGAGUAACCUGCCCUUGACUUCGGGAUAACUUCAGGAAACUGGGGCUAAUACCGGCUAGGAAUCCUUGCUGCAUGGUGGGGGUUGGAAAGCUUCGGCGGUUUUGGAUGGACUCGCGGCUUAUCAGCUUGUUGGUGGGGUAGUGGCUUACCAAGGCUUUGACGGGUAGCCGGCCUGAGAGGGCGACCGGCCACAUUGGGACUGAGAUGCGGCACAGACUGCGACGGGAGGCAGAUGUGGGGAAUAUUGCACAAGGGGCGGAGGGCUGAUGAAGCAACGCCGCGUGCGGGAGGACGGCCUUCGGGUUGAAAACCGCUUUCAGCAGGGGAGAAGCUUGUGGUGACGGUACCUGCAGAAGAAGCACCGGCUAACUACGUG